UCUGCUCAAUGAUUUUUUAAAUUGCUGUGGUAUUUUGACUAUACGAAGGUAUUGAAAUAAGACUUUUAAUGAGUGCUAAGAGAAUGGUUUCACAAUUUACGACUGUCUUUUUAUUAAUAAUUGGAAAUUAAUUUUUUUGUGUAAAAGCUAAAAUAAAAUUAAGGGACAAGAAGACCCUAUGAAUUUUUCUAUUUUCCUAAUAAAAAAUUAUUUUAUUAGGAAAAUUUAAUUGGGGUGAUUAGAAAAGAAUAAAAAUCUUUUUUUUUCAAAAAAUUGAUCCAUUUAUUAAUGAUAAUUUGAUAAAAAUACUCUAGGGAUAACAGCGUUAUAAUUUUGGAUAGCACAUAUUGAUAAAAUUGAUUGCGACCUCGAUGUUGGAUUAGGAUUCUUUCUUAUAUGAAGAAGUAAAGAAAAGAAGUUUGUUCAACUUUUAAAUUCCUACUUGAUCUGAGUUCAGACCGGA
rnacentral:rRNA from 1 species